UAGCCUCCGCCGCUGGUGUACCCCAAAUCCCUCGCCGCCGGCUGCAGUUCGUCAAAUCCUAGCCUCCCCGAACCUCUCACCCGCUCCUGCGCUCUAUUCCUCGGCUCGCCAACCACUGAACCGCAGCCUUAACAUCGAACGUCGCUGUCCUCGUCUCAGACGCCGCCGCCGCCGUCCUCGUCCCAGCCGUGGUCGUCGCCGUCCAAGUCACAGCCGCCACCGUCUCCGUCCAAGUCCCAGCCGUCGCCGUCACCGUCCUCGUCCAAGCCACCGCCAUGGCCGUCCUCGUCCCAGUCGCCUUCGUCACCGUCCCGCCACCGCAGCUCCAUCGUCCUCCAACCGCCGUCUGUUCCCCAUCAAGUCAUCUCGUCCUCUGCCUAGUGUAGGAAGUGGUGAGGCUCGCUUGGAUCCAGCACAGGGCGUUUCCACUCUACUGGUUGGCUAUUAACUCAGCUUAGAUCUUGGAUCUGCUAGUGGACUUUGGGAGUUUGUUAGACAGCUUGGUGACUCCACACUUUUUCACUAUUUCAGCAAGCCUUUGAACUUGAAUAUGCCCAAUACUUGGAAUGCAGAAUAACAUGGUUUAAGGAACAUGCAUGGCCUCAUCUUUGUGCUUAUUGGUGCUCAAAGACGUUCAAGUCCUUAAGGAAGGGAGGGCAGGAAUCCCGAUUCAAGAGUGAAGGUGUUGCUCAAAAUCGGGGAGGUUCGCUUCCAUUUGUGGAGGCUCGACAAAUUCUGGCUGAGAAAUAUGGACCUGAGAAGGCUACCACGCUGAAUACAUAUGCUGCAAUGAAAUCUGGACUCAAGAAUUGGGAUGGCAGUGGUAGCACCAGCACGACCCUCAGCGGGAAGGCAAAAAAUGCUUUGAUGAUUACUCUGAUUUGGCUAGAGCCGCACAUCCUGAUGAUUGGGAGCAGCGAGAGUUGGAUGGGCAAAUAUUAUAUGAAUCAUCAGGUGGCAUUCCCCAUGGGCGACUAGCAAUAGCAGAUGGGGCGAUUAAGAAGGCUGAUGUUAUCUCAACAGCUAGAGAAAAGAAAUUUAGGCCGUCAACUUCAGCAGCACAUCGACGAAUUGUUCAAGAAAAUGAAGAGCUGAAGCGACAUAAUGAGAACCUGCAACGACAUAAUGAGAACCUGCAACAUAAAGUGGAUAUGCAUGAACGGAUCCUAGUGGCCCUUUUUAAGGAGAUGGGAAAAGAACUACCAACGGAGCUACACCAAGGAGCGAGUUCCCAACCACAUGGGACACCUAAUUCAUCUCAUAUGAGACCCCAAGUCGCCGAUGACAACACUGGUGAUGAUGAUCUGGGUGCAAAUGGUGGUGCUGACAACUCCAGUGGGAAUACCAGUGACAACAACGUUAGUGCCGGUGGUGGCGACACUAGUUCCAACAUUCGUGAAACUCAAACCUAGAAUCAUAGAUGGUGGUUGUAACCUUGGUAGUGCCUUUUGUUGACUUGGAGCCAGACUUUAGAACUAAUGUUGGUGUUGGCAACAAAGCAGCAUUUUGCUAGUUGCAAGACUUUAGAACUAAAGCUGGUGUUUGCAACAAGGUAGCAUUUUGGUAGUUGCAAGACUUUAGAUGAACUGUGAUGUACUUUCCUUGUAAUUCUUUGGGUAUGCAAAACUGAUGGUUAUCCUUGUAAGCUGAGAACUGUUAUGUAGAUUGUUUCUGAUGCUUUGGAUGUGCAAAAUUGAUGGAUGUAUCUAAUGA